AGUAAGCAGUUUUUAUUCUUUUUCUUGUUCAAUUUGUGGGAUUGCCUGAAGGGAGAUCACAGUUUCCUCACAAUUACUUUGUGUUUUGUUUACUCCCUGACCUGACUGGGAAUGUCCAAAAUUUGUCCUGCGGCAUUGAGCUGUGACCAGUUGUCGAAGUCACAUGGAAGACGUGAUGGGUUGAUCCUGCAAGGCAAAGUGACCGGGAUUUGAGGGGAGAAGAGGCAUUUCUAGAUCGGGAUCUACUCCUUUCCUCCGCGCCCUGGUGGAAUGCAGAGCUAGAGGGAGCCUGCAGAAUGCAGGCAGCAUCUAGUGAUGGGAAUAACACAAGGACCAGCCUUGCGAGGCAUUUGAUCUCACAGGAAGAGCGCCCCUGGGAGCUGACAGAAUUCAAACCCCAGGUGAUGCCUUUGCUCAGUUUCAAAGCCAAGACGCAAACCUGAUCCCGCAGCUCAUCCGGAGGUGAAAGUCCAUGGCAGUGCAACACUUGACGAUUCCCCCUGUAGGACAGAUUUGCUUUGAUUCCGCUGCGCUUGCUUUGGUGACAUUUUCCGGAGGCGUUCUUCUCCGCGCCGGCUGAAUUCACCUCCCUCCACACAACAACGCUCCUCAAGUCACUUAUCCCCCAACUCAGCGUCUUGGUAGCAGGUCCCAUUGGAAAAGCCAACGAACUCCUUUGAAGAACUCAUUGAAUAAAUUAACAACUUGGAAAGCUGCCUGCCGUUUUUGUUGGCUUUGGGUUUCAGGGAGUUGCUUGGUAAACAAAAGUCAAUGGAUUCAAACAGUAACAAAGUAAUUUAAAUGAUUAAUCAAGUGCUAAAACUAGCUUAACCUCUCCUGUUUUACAAACUCUAUAUCACCCUCACUAAACUAAUAGAGGAAUAAGACACCCGUCUGGAAAUCUCAUCUGAAAUAUUAGAUUGAGAAUCAAAAAUUCAGCCAAGCAGUGUGGUUUGUAGGGAUAUCCUGGCGGAUAAUAAAUUGCAUUAAUCUUACUUAAAUUUUCCAUCUAAAUCAUGUCCUGAGACCAUAUUGCACUGAAGGGAA